rnacentral:rRNA from 1 species
GAUGAACGCUGGCGGCGUGCCUAAUACAUGCAAGUCGAGCGAACAGAUGAGGAGCUUGCUCCUCUGACGUUAGCGGCGGACGGGUGAGUAACACGUGGAUAACCUACCUAUAAGACUGGGAUAACUUCGGGAAACCGGAGCUAAUACCGGAUAAUAUAUUGAACCGCAUGGUUCAAUAGUGAAAGACGGUUUUGCUGUCACUUAUAGAUGGAUCCGCGCCGCAUUAGCUAGUUGGUAAGGUAACGGCUUACCAAGGCAACGAUGCGUAGCCGACCUGAGAGGGUGCGCGGCAACACUGGAACGGAGACCGGGCCAAGACCCCUGCGGGAGGGAGCAGGGGGGAAGCUUGCGCAGGGGGCGAAAGCCGGACGGAGAAGCGCCGGGGGAGGGAUAAAGGUCUUGGGAUCGAAAAACUGUUUUAUGAGGGAAAAAAAAAUGGGAAAGGAAAUAGGCACGUCGGGACGGUACAUAAUAAGAAGGCCACGGAAAACUAGGUG